UCUAUCUGUUGACAAUCCAGUGGUGAUCUA
rnacentral:piRNA from 1 species